rnacentral:lncRNA from 1 species
AUAUAUGAGGGUCCGAUCUCGGGGAUGAGACGCCGCAACCGGCGGCGCCGGUGGCCGGAAAAGAGAGGAAAAGGGUCCGGCUGAAACAGAACAAAACAGGAUUCACUAUUUUCAUGGAUUUUUUGGUGAUCCCGACGGCCGACGAGGGUGCACGAGGUCAUGAAAAGGUGGGGAAGGAAGAGAGGAAGGAGAAGACGGGUUUACCUCCGACUCCGGUGAGGUCUCCGACGAGUAUUUGAGAUGAAUACGAGAAGAGGCUGCCGCGGAUUUCACGGAGAAAAGAGGAGGAUUUAAGCUUGAAGAUCGCCGGUGGAGGUUUGAGAGGGAGAGGGGAGGCUUAUUCAUAGAGGAUCCUGGAGUUUUAAGAGUCCUAAAAUUUUUCUCCGAUCGGGAUUCAUCGGAAAAGAAGACUCCCUUUGGGAGUCUUCUUCCGUUCUCUUUUUGUUUUUUUUUUUUU